rnacentral:rRNA from 1 species
UACGGAGGGGGCUAGCGUUGUUCGGAAUUACUGGGCGUAAAGCGCACGUAGGCGGAUAGUUAAGUCGGGGGUGAAAUCCCUGGGCUCAACCCCGGAACUGCCUUCGAUACUGGCUGUCUAGAGUUCGAGAGAGGUGAGUGGAAUUCCGAGUGUAGAGGUGAAAUUCGUAGAUAUUCGGAGGAACACCAGUGGCGAAGGCGGCCCACUGGAUCGAUACUGACGCUGAGGUGCGAAAGCGUGGGGAGCAAACAGG